CCGAGAAGUAAGGCUGUGUCUCACCUCUCUCAUCACCUCUCCCUCUCGCCCUUUCUUUCGGCAACCGGCUGGUGUCUCGUCAAACAACACGCACACGGGCCACACUUUUUUUUGCUUCAGUGACAUCGCUACUCCGACACGGGUGCCCCCCUUCCCUCUCCCCUCACACACACAUGGGGUGGCGAAACACGUUCACAGUCGCUCUUUCCUACGCAAGUGUAAUAACAUCCACGCUCCCUUGGUGCCUGUGUGCGCCUGUGCGGGGAAUGCAGAAAGGCUCCCGAGGCUGCCGGGCGAUUUGAAUUCGAACCCCGUCGAGUAGCCGUCAUAAUGGUCAACGAGGCACCUUACCUCACGAAUCGUGUGGUGGCACUGCUGAUGUUGGCAGUCUUCGUCCUGUGCCUCUGUGCAGAUCGGCUCCAGUGCCAGAACAACGGGUGGCGAUCCAUGUGCAUCGGCAGGCUCGCGUACAAGUGCUCAAGUGAAUGGUGCCGAUCAUCUGUUAUCACACCGACAAGCGUUUCGCUGGCGAGCUCGUGCGUAGGCAAGGGCAACGCGCUUGUACUGAUAGCGCUGGUAGAGGUGGGCCCAUCUGUGGUGUCGAGGAGAGGCGAGAAUAUUAGCAAGUACAUGGCUGACGAGCUGCGUAGGCAGAUCGACUCUGGCGAGUUUCAGCGUGCGGUGCGGCUAACCCUUGCUGCGCCCCGCUUUGCAUCAGACAACACAGGAGACGAUCCGCGGACAAGCCUCACGGAGCUGUUCAGGGAGAAAGCAUCAUUGCGAGCGAUCUUCGAUGUCCCUCGUAAUCAGACGCGCUACAUGGUGGUUAACGAUGUUGUGCCGCUGCCCGCGGUGGAUGGGCUAGGCAACUUCAGCUACACCACCUGGGAGGAGGCGGUCGAUGCGGCAUUGCCGGUGAGCAAGGUGGAUGAUGCUUCACAGCUGCCGCGCUACUUUCCCAACCUGUACACCAAAUUGGCGGCUUUCAGUAAUGAGCGCGCCGCCAGUGCAGCGCCGCCGUCGUCGAAGCAGUGCGAUGCGCUGGUAGUGGUGGUGGGAACCAUUGCCCAUCCGCUGGCGAGCGUGCGCAGCGUGUGGCAGACGCCGCGGGAUGCUGGAGCGCAGCUCUCUCUGGGACACGAGUACGUGCGGGGCGCCGUCACGCGCUACUUGAUGACGUGUAGGAAGUUUCUGAGGAAUGUGCACGGGGUGUACUACCUCCAAUACGAGUCCCGGCUGCCCGCGUGGGCUUUCACAGCGGAGGUGGUGGGAGGCCAGCGUGAGGAGCUCUCCAUCAUUACGGCAACUAAUGCAACGGCGGACAGGGCCCCGGCACUCGGUAAUACUUCUUCGUUUGCUGCCGCGUUCUGCACCUCUGCCAACGCCACCGCCCCGUCCGCGCCCCUGCGGCCGUGCGAACAGGCCUGCCGGAUAUACGGCCGCAUCGCAUCUGAUCUCAUUGCCGGUGACCGUGGUAUCGCCCUUACGUCCUUUGAGAAGCACCACCAGUUCAGUUCCUCCUCGUUCACCUACAACUGCUACUACGAAGUGCUCUCCGCGCAGGGUGAGGCUGCGAUCAACGGCACCUUUGACGCCAAGACGGUGUCGCGCGUGUUCGACGACUGCCUGCACCUCUCACCAGCCGGCAGUCGGGCGUACGCGAGGUGUUUGCUUCGCAGAUAGGCAGACGGCACGGGCUCUCGAGGACGGUGGGCAGCAAGGCCUUCAUCCUUGGCAGCGUGGGUCGACGUGCUGAGUACGCGGUGCAUGAGAACACCGAGGCUGCCUCCAAAGCAUAUUGCUGCUUGUCUGCGUGUGCCCCGGAUAGGCGGCGCGCGAUCGUUGCAUCUCUCUACAGGUUCUUCUUCCUCGCGGUGGGCGCUCCUUCUCAAUCCCAUUAUGUGUGUGUGUGUGUGCUUUUCUUGCAUUGUGUACACCUGCGUCUGUUCCGUUUCGUUUCUUCACCGCCCCCCUUUCUCACUGCUGUCUUUUCCUAUUCCUUCCAUCGCUCGCGUAUACACGGGCCUGCACGUCUAUGACAGUUUCGCAACUGCCAGUGCCGGCGUGCGCCUUCUCCUUUGUCUUGCCGAGCAUUACACGAAGUUAAGGCGAUGUAGGGGGUGCGUGGCGGAGAGCGUGUCUCUAUGCAUGUGUGUGUGUGUGUGUGUGUGGUACGUGACACGUGACACGUAG
rnacentral:misc_RNA from 1 species